UCCCAAAAGGGAACGAGUUGUCCUCCCAAAUGUCAUAAACCCCAGUUUGCUUUAGAAAAAGGGGCGCGACAUACAUUAUUUACUUCUACAAAAUUAGUAAAUUAUAUAUUGUGUGUUAUUUGUUAUGUACCAGUGUUAAAGAAAUUAUUCUUUAACAUAUUCUAUUUGCUUCAAGUAUAUCUCUAUUGCAGUUUUGCUACUAUUUGUUUAACUUUUUAUCAACAACAAAAAUUAGAUGUAACUUAUCACUUCAAAUGUAUUAAAUUAUAAAUAAUUUGACAAAAGUUUACAAGCUUUUAGAUCAGAAAUGUACAUACAAAAAUAUUACAGAUUGAGUAUCUAAAUCUUAAAAGAAGAAACAAUGCUGACUCUCUAGAUACAUACUAGAUAGACAGAUACGAGUGUACUUCAGGAAACUAGCAAGCCUUGCCAUUCGGAUGAAAGGAAGCUUCAAGUCUCUUUUAUCUCAUGUUAAUUUUUAUUAACUAGAAUAGGUUCUCUUGUCUAUAUUAUUAACAAAAAAAGGUUCUCUUUGUGGUAUACUUGGUUUUCUCAUCAUCUCUGUAGAUAAUAUUAGUGGUUGAUGCUUUUGAAUGAAUUAGUCAACUGUAGAAAGUAAAAAACAAAUUAAAGAGAGUGAAUCAAAAUCAGCAAAGAAGAGAGCAAUGGUGCUUGGAACAGGAUGGGUUGGUUGGUACCAGCUUCCUAAAAGAGAUAUUACUUUCUUCUUUUAGUAGCGUCAAAUGCUGAGGAAGGCUUAUAACAGGCUGUGAUAGUAUAUGGGAUGCUUUAUCAUUGGAUUUGGCAACUUGCAGAGCUUUACCGACAAAACUUGCUGCAAAGAUAGUUGUGAAGGCGUGGAGUAGGUUAACAAGUUUGAAAGUGCCAAUCAAUUUAGUGAUUACUCAAAUCAGCAUGCACGAAGAAAAAGCAGUACAGCAACAAUUCACCACAAUCAAAGCGUAGCAUCGAGAAAGGGCAUAAACCAAGUGAUAAUCCCUUUUUGAGUUGAAAUUUGAUUUUGGUCUAAAGUCUUUAUGCUCGAUUAUUGCCCUAUUCCAGCUUUUCCUUAAGUUUCUUCUUCACUCUGGCCAUUAGCUUUUACUUGAUUUCUACAUUUUCUCAUUUGCUUUUUGGUUUUGGGGGUUUAUCAUAUAUGUGAAUUCUGCGGAGUUUCUUGGUGAUGGGAUUUUGAUGAUAUGUGUUGGUUUUUGCAGUUUCCUUCUUUGUGUUUUUGGGAUCCAUUCUAUUUCCUUUAUAUGAUGAUGAGAUUUUGAUAGACAUCUUUUAUUUUUCUUUUUUUUUUUGGACUAUUUUGAUGGUUGUGUGAAAUUGAUGAAGGGUUGCUGUGAUUACUUUGCCCUAAUUAUUUUGGGAUGGCUAAUUCAUAUCGUACUUUCAUAUAUUUUCGUGAAAUUAUAUGCCAUAUGUUUGACCAAUUGGCUGAAGACAUUGGAGCCUUAGAAUUAACAAUUAAAUAUGCUCAAAACUGUUUUCAGUCGAUAUAUUUUGCAAUACAUGUUUUAAUUAUAUAUAUAUAUAUAUAUGUGUGUGUGUGUGUGUGUGUGUGUGUGUGAUGGUGCACAUAGGAAGUAGUGAUGUUAGAUGACAACAACAACUUCUUUCUUUCUUCACCUUCAACUAAUGCUUCUUCAGUUCUUUACAUAUUUCUCAGUUACCAAUACACUUUUGCACUGAAAAGAGUACGUGUCUCUUCCAUUUGAUUCUAAAAGAUGUUGAUUCCACGUGUCUUUUAAUUCAGCAGAGACAACAUAUUACAUUUUUCUAAUAUUGCAACUUAGUUGUUUUCUCUGGUUCAUCGCUUUCUUCUUAUCUAUCUUGGGUCCAUUUCUAUUAUUUUUGCUCUCUUUGCUUUUGCUGGAAUUUUUUGGGUAUCUUGUUUGCUUCUAUCGACAUGAUUCUUUUUGGGGUUUUGUGAGUUUGCUUCUGCAAUUUCCUUUUGGUGCAUCUGCUAUCUCAAUUUUGGUGCAUAUUCCAUUUUUUCUUGAAUAUUCAUGUGUUAUCACAUUAUUUUGUGAUUGUAACAUUUUCGCAGGUCUAGCCUGAUACGCAUAUCACUUUAUUUGUUUUUCUAUUUUUGAAUUAUUUUUAUAUGUGAAAAUAUUAUUUUUGAACGUCUGAUUAUGACUCCGUAACUAUCUGCUUUAAGGUUCCAAGGGAUUUCGAAAUCAUAUUUCAGGUGGUGGGACUAAUUGUUUCAACGAGGAAGUACGAGGAAUAUUAUGGCUAAAGAUGGGACAAGAUGUACAAAGACAAAUUAUGUUUGAGGAAGCAAGUUAAAUUUUGAAUGAUGUUGUUGGGAGCAUAAGAAUUGUUGCGUCAUGUUGUGCGAAAGAGAAGGUUAUGGAAAUGUGUAGAAAACAGAGCCAAGAGCCAAGGCCUACUGAAUGCAAGAAAAACUUGACCAGUUUUUUUUCCCUCUAAUGAUGGCAACUAUAUUUAUGUCCCAGUCAAGCUCAUUCUGCACCAAGUAUAGCCAAGGUGGCUGUGCUCCAAUAUGUGCUAUUUCGGACAAAAAAUCGUGAAAUUCAAGUGAUGAUUCUGGUAUUACACAAGACACUAUGAAGGGAGAUUUUGAGCUAUAAUAUGCAAUCUUCACCGUUGCUUGAUCAUUAGCUGUGGAAAGCUGAAUAGAUAAUUUGAUCCCGUCCCGUUUAUUUGAUGUCUUCUUUCUUUUAAAUAAAUAAUGACAGAGAUCUUUACUACUGGAUAAUUUAUUGGUGAAGUAUGAAUGGGAUACAAAUUUAUGAAUUUUGGAGUAUUUAGAAUUUAAGAGAUGUUCGGAUGCGGUUCUUAGUUUUGAGAUAUGAAUUUGGUUUUACAUUGUCAAAUGUCAAGCAUGAUUUUGCCAUGAAAAUUUACAAUCAAAGUUGAUUGCUACAUCA